rnacentral:tRNA from 1 species
GCUCAGUUGGUAGAGCAGUUGCUAGAGCAUGGCACUUGCAAUGCCAGGGUUGUGGGUUUGAUUCCCAU